rnacentral:rRNA from 1 species
UGGUCAAGCUACAAAGGGCUCACGGUGGAUACCUUGGCACACAGAGGCGAUGAAGGACGUGGUUACCUGCGAUAAGUCUCGGGGAGCUGGAAACACGCUUUGAUCCGGGAAUUUCCGAAUGGGGCAACCCCUAGAACGGCCGCCUGAAUCCAUAGGGCGGUGCGAGCCAACCCAGCGAACUGAAACAUCUUAGUAGCGGAGGAAAG